UGUCUCCUCCAAUUCGUUCCUCGAACAUUGGAUUCAGCCCGCGCCCUUACCAGCCGCGGGCUUUUUUUU
rnacentral:ncRNA from 3 species